AAAACAUCGCCUCCUGCAACACAACUAAGUAUAGGAGGUCCAGCCUGCCCAGUGACUACAAGUUCAACGGCCGCGGUAUUUUGACCGUGCAAAGGUAGCGCAAUCACUUGUCUUUUAAAUAGAGACCUGUAUGAAUGGCUAAACGAGGGCUUAACUGUCUCCCCUUUCCAGUCAGUGAAAUUGAUCUGCCCGUGCAGAAGCGGACAUAAAAAUACAAGACGAGAAGACCCUUUGGAGCUUAAGGUACAAAACUCAACCACGUCAAGCAACUCAAUAAAAAGCAAAAACUUUGUGGAAUAUGAGAUUUUACCUUCGGUUGGGGCGACCACGGAGGAAAACAAAGCCUCCAAGUGGAUUGGGAAAACCUCCUAAAACCAAGAGAGACAUCUCUAAGCCACAGAACAUCUGACCAAACAUGAUCCGGCUACCCGAAGCCGAUCAACGAACCAAGUUACCCUAGGGAUAACAGCGCAAUCCUCUCCCAGAGUCCAUAUCGACGAGAGGGUUUACGACCUCGAUGUUGGAUCAGGACAUCCUAAUGGUGCAGCCGCUAUUAAGGGUUCGUUUGUUCAACGAUUAAAGUCCUACGUGA
rnacentral:rRNA from 1 species